GAUGAACGCUAGCGGCAGGCUUAACACAUGCAAGUCGAGGGGUAACAGGGUGCUUGCACCGCUGACGACCGGCGCACGGGUGCGUAACGCGUAUAGAACCUACCUUUUACAGGAGAAUACCCCAGAGAAAUUUGGAAUAAUGCUCCAUAGUAUUAUUGAAUGGCAUCAUUUGAUAAUUAAACAUUUAUGGGUAAAAGAUGGCUAUGCGUUCUAUUAGCUAGAUGGUAAGGUAACGGCUUACCAUGGCAACGAUAGAUAGGGGUCCUGAGAGGGAGAUCCCCCACACUGGUACUGAGACACGGACCAGACUCCUACGGGAGGCAGCAGUGAGGAAUAUUGGACAAUGGAGGCAACUCUGAUCCAGCCAUGCCGCGUGCAGGAAGACGGUCCUAUGGAUUGUAAACUGCUUUUAUACAGGAAGAAACACUCCCUCGUGAGGGAGCUUGACGGUACUGUAUGAAUAAGCACCGGCUAACUCCGUGCCAGCAGCCGCGGUAAUACGGAGGGUGCAAGCGUUAUCCGGAAUCAUUGGGUUUAAAGGGUCCGUAGGCGGGCUAAUAAGUCAGGGGUGAAAUCCAACAGCUUAACUGUUGAAUUGCCUUUGAUACUGUUAGUCUUGAGUUAUAUGGAAGUAGAUAGAAUGUGUAGUGUAGCGGUGAAAUGCUUAGAGAUUACACAGAAUACCGAUUGCGAAGGCUAGUCUACUACGUAUAUAC
rnacentral:rRNA from 1 species